ensembl:lncRNA
CAAGAGACUGCUUGAUUAGAAUGAAUGGGAAUAAAAUUCUGUAGAUUAAACCUCCAUGUCUCUAUGAAUCACUGAGCAAGAUGGCGGCCAGGAAUCCCUCGUGGCGACCCCUACGGCCAUUUCAGUGUUUACACCCUUGUCCAAUAAAGAGCCAUUCAUCAGGGACUCCCAUGACCCCUGACGUCACCUUCUGCCGCCCCACCCGCUCCAGUUUCGCUCGCGUGCUGCCAGUCAGCCCUCUCUCGUGAUUCCUCAGUCAAGCCCCUUGGGCUUCCUCCACGCGCAGACAGAGGGAGAUUCUGAUUGGUCAGUUUGAGACUCUAUCCACCCCCACACAUACACACAAAAAUUAAAAUAAAUAAUAAUGGAAGAAAAAAAAAGAGAGAGACCUCGCAUACCGUAAAACGUUUUAAAGGUCCGUUAUCUGAGCACGAGGAACUAACACAGUUGGUUAACCCUGUGUAAAGUUCUGUUUGUGGUUCCUUUUCAAUUAGCGGUUACAGUACCAGUAAUUGAAGCUACCGGUUUCUCGAAAAAGAUAUUUAAAAAAAUAAUAAUAAUAAAAAACCGACUUGUUUUUGGUUUUCAUUUGAGAAGACAGUAGAGAUAAGGGUAGGAUGUGGACGCAGUGAACUCACCCCGCACUCACCGUGAACACGGAUUUAACGUUAACGGACUACCUGAGAAUCAAUUUUUCAUCGUAGAGUCACUUUGGACGGAUUUAACAGAGAUUUAUUCGGUUUAUUUGACAGAUUUCCAACACUGGACCACCGCCUUCCCAGAGGCUCGUGACCAAAGCUCAGUGGAUCAGCAGUGUGAGCUAACGUGUCGGCCAGUCGGCUAUUGUUUUUACGUUCGUCAUUCGGAGCGAGUGAGAGACCGAAACCCGUGUGUUGAUAACACCCCCAAUGAUAUGUGCGUGGGAGGCCGAUGCCUGCUUCCUCUCAGAGUGAGGGGUGUGAUGGCAUGCUUGGCUCGGGUGUGGUGUGUGAUUGGUGCAGCAUUUGUGUGUGUGGGAGGCUGAUGCCUGGGUCAAAGGUCAGCGACAGGGCAGCCGACUCUCCAGCCAAUCGCGUCCCGGACCAACGUUGAGGAAGUGAAUAUACAGUAACAUUUCAAUAGCUCUGUUUUGUUAGCCACUUUAGCAUCACAGCUCCAGUGCAAACAUGUCUCUGCUGAUCAACUACGUCUGGGGUAAAACGUAAAUUGUGUGCCCUUCUUUUCUAAUCUUUUUUCUUUUUUUAAAAAAUCUUUUGCUUUUUCUCAAAGUGAGAACUUUUUUUAAAAUCCAGUAUGUUUGUUUUGUUUUAAAAGCACUAGAAUUUUCUGCAUUUCUAUGGCAACCUGGAUGCCAAACUAAACCUACAAUGAUGAAGGUGCCUUUAAUAAAGAAAAAUUAGAUUUGUGCCCAUUUUGCUCAUAAACUAUCAGUACACCUGAUUUUGUUCACAUUCCUAUCUAUACAAGUACACUACAUAGGGGAAGACAUAAUACGCUUACACUCUGUCAAGUGCACUAGAUGUCCAAUAGCCAUGCAUGACUUGCCAUAAUUCAGUUAUUCAGUUAAAUAAUGCCUCCUACACCCUAUCUAGGGCACUAUACAUACAGCUACGAGUCAGCCAUAUUUGAUUCCAGCGCGCUUGUGCAGGAAGUAUGGAGCUAAAUCCCAAAAUGUUUCAUAUUAGACGUGUAGUGCACUACAUAGGGUGCAGCAAUUUUCAUACCUCAUAAGUGCAAUUAUUUGGGGAGCAGGGACCUUAAAUACAUUGGGGCAGAGCUACACUUUCUAUACAUUUUGCACUACAUCGGCUGCCAUUAUUUUUCUUCUAAUCCUCUAGUUGACAUAUAGUGCACUAUGUAAGGGGUAUUAUUUCAUUCCCUGUGAAAUG